rnacentral:misc_RNA from 1 species
GAAAUGCGAAAAGUAAUGUGAAUUGCAGAAUUCAGUGAAUCAUCGAAUCUUUGAACGCACAUUGCGCCCAUUAGUAUUCUAGUGGGCAUGCCUGUUCGAGCGUCAUUACAACCCUCAAGCGCUGUAGUGCUUGGUGUUGGGGCAUCUGCUGCUUAUGGCAGGCCCUGAAAGAUAGUGGCGAGCUCGCCGUGACCCUGAGCGUAGUAGUUUACACCUCGCUUCUGUGGUUCAUAGCGGGUCUUCAGCCGUGAAAACCCCCUAAUUUUCACAAGGUUGACCUCGGAUCAGGUAGGAAUACCCGCUGAACUUAA